UACGGGAGGCAGCAGUGGGGAAUAUUGCACAAUGGGCGAAAGCCUGAUGCAGCUAUGCCGCGUGUAUGAAGAAGGCCUUAGGGUUGUAAAGUACUUUCAUCGGGGAGGAAAAAACAAAACUAAUAAUUUUAUUUCUUGACGUUACCCGAAAAAGAAGCACCGGCUAACUCCGUGCCAGCAGCCGCGGUAAUACGGAGGGUGCUAGCGUUAAUCAGAAUUACUGGGCGUAAAGAGCACGUAGGUGGUUUUUUUAAAGUCAGAUGUGAAAUCCCUGGGCUUAACCUGGAACUGCAUUUUGAAACUGAAAUACUAGAGUAUCGUAGAGGGAGGUAGAAUUCUAGGUGUAGCGGUUGAAAUGCGUAGAUAUCUGGAGGAAUACCUGUGGCGAAAGCGGCCUCCUAAACGAAUACUGACACUGAGGUGCGAAAGCGUGGGGAGCAAACAGGGAUUAGAUACCCGU
rnacentral:rRNA from 1 species